rnacentral:tRNA from 2 species
CCCUGGUUAUUAAAAUUUAAUUUUUUUUCUUGAGUAAAGUGAUAUUUAAAAAGAA